rnacentral:rRNA from 1 species
CCAGACUCCUACGGGAGGCAGCAGUGGGGAAUAUUGCACAAUGGGGGAAACCCUGAUGCAGCGACGCCGCGUGAGCGAUGAAGUAUUUCGGUAUGUAAAGCUCUAUCAGCAGGGAAGAAAAUGACGGUACCUGACUAAGAAGCCCCGGCUAACUACGUGCCAGCAGCCGCGGUAAUACGUAGGGGGCAAGCGUUAUCCGGAUUUACUGGGUGUAAAGGGAGCGUAGACGGCUUGGCAAGCCAGAUGUGAAAGGCUGGGGCUCAACCCCAGGACUGCAUUUGGAACUGCGUGGCUAGAGUGCAGGAGGGGCAGGCGGAAUUCCUGGUGUAGCGGUGAAAUGCGUAGAUAUCAGGAGGAACACCGGUGGCGAAGGCGGCCUGCUGGACUGCAACUGACGUUGAGGCCCGAAAGCGUGGGGAGCAAACAGGAUUAGAUACCCGAGUAU